AGUGAACGCUGGCGGUAGGCCUAACACAUGCAAGUCGAACGGCAGCACAGUAAGAGCUUGCUCUUACGGGUGGCGAGUGGCGGACGGGUGAGGAAUACAUCGGAAUCUACCUUUUUCGUGGGGGAUAACGUAGGGAAACUUACGCUAAUACCGCAUACGACCUACGGGUGAAAGCAGGGGAUCUUCGGACCUUGCGCGAUUGAAUGAGCCGAUGUCGGAUUAGCUAGUUGGCGGGGCAAAGGCCCACCAAGGCGACGAUCCGUAGCUGGUCUGAGAGGAUGAUCAGCCACACUGGAACUGAGACACGGUCCAGACUCCUACGGGAGGCAGCAGUGGGGAAUAUUGGACAAUGGGCGCAAGCCUGAUCCAGCCAUACCGCGUGGGUGAAGAAGGCCUUCGGGUUGUAAAGCCCUUUUGUUGGGAAAGAAAAGCAGCAGGUUAAUACCCCGCUGUUCUGACGGUACCCAAAGAAUAAGCACCGGCUAACUUCGUG
rnacentral:rRNA from 1 species